AGCAGCAGCCGCGGGAAAACAGAGGCCUCAAGCGUUGUUCGGAUUCAUUGGGCGUAAAGGGUGCGUAGGUGGCUUGGUAAGUUGAAGGUGAAAUCUCGGGGCUUAACCCCGAAACUGCCUUCAAUACUGCUAGGCUCGAGGACUGUAGAGGAGAAUGGAAUUCACGGUGUAGCAGUGAAAUGCGUAGAUAUCGUGAGGAAGACCAGUGGCGAAGGCGAUUCUCUGGGCAGUUCCUGACACUGAGGCACGAAGGCCAGGGGAGCAAACGGGAUUAGAGACCCGAGUAGUCCCUGUCUCUUAUAC
rnacentral:rRNA from 1 species